UCCAUUCCUAUUAUUUCUGGAAAAAAUUAACAAAAAAGAAAAACAAAAAAUAUCUUACCACUUUCUUAGUAACUGCUCAUUCCCCACGAUCUCAAAAUUAUCCCUUCCUUCCAACUCUCUCCCACUUUAAUUGACGAAAUCACUGUAACUUCUUCUUCUUCUCUUCUUUUUCAUAACCUUAGAUCCUCCAUUCUUUCUUCUAAAUCCUCCAUUCUUUCUCAUAUCUUUUUUUUAAAUGAGAAGUCGAGAACCAUCCACUAUCUUUUAAUUUUUUGUUUUAUUUUAAAUCUAUGUUGAAUAUAAAAAAACAGUUUCUAAUCAGGCCUCAAAAUCGUCUUUCAUGCCCGAUCACGAGUAUAAUGGCUCCAUCAAUUCCCGGUCCAUCCUCAGCGACUGUUCAAUUCAAAAACUUGGUUUGCAAGCGUGUCUGAAAAAUUAGGAGAUGGAGCAAAGACUUUCCACAACCAGUAACGUAUAGAUGACUUUAUAUUAAUAAUUAUGUAGUAUGCUCACAAAGUUUGUCCGUCUUCCAUCAAUAAUUUGUUUGUUUCAUAUUUUUUGAAAUUUAACUAAUUAGAUAAUAGAUUCAAUGAACUUCUAUUUAAAAAAAAACUAAAGGCAACAUAUAUUUGAUUCCCAAAAUAUUUUGAUA